rnacentral:rRNA from 1 species
UACAGGGGGUGCAAACGUUGCUCGGAAUUAUUGGGCGUAAAGCGCGCGUAGGCGGCCGCUUAAGUCGGAUGUGAAAGCCCCGGGCUCAACCCGGGAAGUGCACUCGAUACUGUCGAGCUAGAGUAUCGGAGAGGUUGGUGGAAUUCUCGGUGUAGAGGUGAAAUUCGUAGAUAUCGAGAGGAACACCGGUGGCGAAGGCGGCCAACUGGACGAAUACUGACGCUGAGACUCGAAAGCGUGGGGAGCAAACAGG